rnacentral:tRNA from 1 species
GGGGGUAUAGUUCAAUGGGAAGAACACCGGUCUCCAAAACCGCACAUGCAGGUUCGACUCCUGCUGCCCCUGCCA